CUAAACGUCCUUGCGAACCCUACCCGUCCAGUCGCUUNGGCGGUCCGGCCGCGGUCCCCCCCUCACCGGGGGGCCCGGGGCCCCGCCGGAGACCCUGAAACCCUCUGUAUUACAGCGGCCUCUCUGAGUACCACGGUUUUUAGAAUCAGUCAAAACUUUCAACAACGGAUCUCUUGGCUCUAGCAUCGAUGAAGAACGCAGCGAAAUGCGAUAAGUAAUGUGAAUUGCAGAAUUCCGUGAAUCAUCGAAUCUUUGAACGCACAUUGCGCCCGCCAGUAUUCUGGCGGGCAUGCCUGUUCGAGCGUCAUUGCACCCCUCAGGCCCCUCUCGGGGCCUGGUGUUGGGGCGCCGCGGAGCCCCCCGUGGGCCCCGCGGGCCCUGAAAGGCAGCGGCGGGCUCGUCGGGGACCCGAGCGUAGUAGCACACACGUCGCUACGGGCUCCCCCACGGGCGCCGGCCCAACCCCCACGUCCCCCCAGCGGGACCGUUAGGUUGACCUCGGAUCAGG
rnacentral:rRNA from 1 species